AAGAUGUUCUAAAUCAACCUCAAAAAGAUGUUUUUUUGUACAACUCAAAAAAAAACCUUUUUAUUUCGUGAAAACGUUGUAUUUGUAUCCAUGACCACCACCAAUUGUAUCAUCGAAACCAAAAAAGAAAAAGUAUUUUUUAUGUUUGCUAAUUCGUAUUGUAUCAUACAAACUCUAGUGUUUCUUCCUCUUAUGUUUGUUUAUCUUAAAUGUGUUUUACACAAAACAAAAAAGAAGAAUGUUGAUGUUAAUGUGUCAAGGGGAGGCUGAUCAUCCUAGCUCGGCGUUUUAUUUCCCAUCUGAAGGAUCAGGCCUGUGAAGGACUUUAACUCUAGAUGCCCUCAUGAGAAAAAAACUAACCUUCAUAUCCCCUCUCUAUUCU
rnacentral:lncRNA from 1 species